UAUUGCAAGUGGCCCCCAGUGCAGCCAGCCAUUCAAGGUGUGGGGAGGGAGAGAAGGAAGCUUCUUACUUGUCUUCCUGCUCCUGUGUGGCCAUGAAAACUCACAAUCAGGGUUUUAGAGUCCGAGAGAAAGAGAGGUUCAUGUUUCCAUGCAGUGAAGAUUUCAGUCCUUGCUUGUAGACAAAUCCAGUAUCAGGUGAGAAAAGCAACUGAAGGAAUAGGUAGUUUUAACAUGUAUGGAGAGUUCCUAACUAUCCAAACAGUCUUUAAUUCCUCACUUCACUUUGAUGAUCCACUUGACAUAAAACAAACAAAGCCGAUAACAACCAAGAAUGUUCUAUUCUUGAGCUGACUCCUUAGACGGAUUGAGACAUGUCCAAGAUGCAGGCAGUGACUUUUACCUAAUACUUCACGGAAAGAUAACACCCUACCAACCAUCACAUGCACUUUGGGCUGACUUUUGAGGUGUUUAUUCAAGGGCUAGAUUGUGACUUGGACUACAUGGUCAUAGUGGGGAGCCAAUCUUUGUGUGGUUAUCCAGAUCCUGGGUCCAGGCCAUUGCUUACUCCCUCCCCAGAGCAGGGAGGUGUGGGAAACACGUGAAGCCCG